rnacentral:rRNA from 1 species
AGAGAUUGAACAUAAGAGUUUGAUCCUGGCUCAGAUUGAACGCUGGCGGCAUGCUUUACACAUGCAAGU